GACGAACGCUGGCGGCGUGCUUAACACAUGCAAGUCGAACGGAAAGGCCCUGCUUUUGUGGGGUGCUCGAGUGGCGAACGGGUGAGUAACACGUGAGUAACCUGCCCUUGACUUUGGGAUAACUUCAGGAAACUGGGGCUAAUACCGGAUAGGAGCUCCUGCUGCAUGGUGGGGGUUGGAAAGUUUCGGCGGUUGGGGAUGGACUCGCGGCUUAUCAGCUUGUUGGUGGGGUAGUGGCUUACCAAGGCUUUGACGGGUAGCCGGCCUGUGAGGGUGACCGGCCACAUUGGGACUGAGAUACGGCCCAGACUCCUACGGGAGGCAGCAGUGGGGAAUAUUGCACAAUGGGCGGAAGCCUGAUGCAGCAACGCCGCGUGCGGGAUGACGGCCUUCGGGUUGUAAACCGCUUUCGCCUGUGACGAAGCGGGAGUGACGGUAAUGGGUAAAGAAGCACCGGCUAACUACGUG
rnacentral:rRNA from 1 species